rnacentral:tRNA from 2 species
GGGUAGGUGGCAGAGUGGUUAAAUGCGUGAGCCUGUAAAGCUCAUAGCCGAUACGGCUUACGGGGGUUCAAAUCCCUCCCUGCCCA